rnacentral:rRNA from 1 species
AUUGAACGCUGGCGGCAUGCCUUACACAUGCAAGUCGAACGGCAGCACGGGAGCUUGCUCCUGGUGGCGAGUGGCGAACGGGUGAGUAAUACAUCGGAACGUACCCUGAAGUGGGGGAUAACGUAGCGAAAGUUACGCUAAUACCGCAUAUUCUGUGAGCAGGAAAGAGGGGGAUCGCAAGACCUCUUGCUUUAGGAGCGGCCGAUGUCGGAUUAGCUAGUUGGUGAGGUAACGGCUUACCAAGGCGACGAUCUGUAGCGGGUCUGAGAGGAUGAUCCGCCACACUGGAACUGAGACACGGUCCAGACUCCUACGGGAGGCAGCAGUGGGGAAUUUUGGACAAUGGGGGCAACCCUGAUCCAGCCAUGCCGCGUGAGUGAAG